GUAGGUGGCAAGCGUUGUCCGGAAUUAUUGGGCGUAAAGCGCGCGCAGGCGGUUCUUUAAGUCUGAUGUGAAAGCCCACGGCUCAACCGUGGAGGGUCAUUGGAAACUGGAGAACUUGAGUACAGAAGAGGAAAGCGGAAUUCCACGUGUAGCGGUGAAAUGCGUAGAGAUGUGGAGGAACACCAGUGGCGAAGGCGGCUUUCUGGUCUGUAACUGACGCUGAGGCGCGAAAGCGUGGGGAGCAAACAGGAUUAGAUACCCUGGUAGUCCACGCCGUAAACGAUGACGUGCUAAGUGUUAGGGGGGUUUUCCGCCCCCCUUAGUGCUGCAGCUAACGCAUUAAGCACUCCGCCUGGGAGUACGGCCGCAAGGCUG
rnacentral:rRNA from 1 species